GUGCUUGCUUCAGCAGCACGUAUACUGAAAUUGCAAUGGUACAGAGAUUAGUGUGGCCCCUGUACAAGGAUGACAUGCACACUCAUGAAAUGAUCCAUAUCUUA
ensembl:snRNA U6 U6 spliceosomal RNA